CCCACUUUAUGAUGCCACCUGAGCACCGCUCACAGCGUUUCCUUUAUCGUGAUCCUGCAUUUAUAAAAGCUCUGCAUGUUUUUGAGUUCUUUUCAUGCAUCCUUACAGUGUUUUUCUUUGUCAUUUCAGCUAAAGGGGAUGCUGAGUCACUUUGGGAUCCUGACAUCAUCAUCAUGAGACGGGGAGGCUGGUGAGCGGUGACCUAAGGCAGCGGUGGGAGGCGGUGCCUUUGUAUGUGGUUGGCGGUGCCUUUGGCUGCUGGUUCUUGGCAAAAAAAAAAAAGUCACCCCUGUGGAGUUGUUUCAGCAACUUAUUUGCCAAAUAUCGGGAGAAAAAGAAGUCUGAGGACAGAUUUUUAUUGUCACAAUGCCCCAAAUGAGCAUAAAGCACCUGCAGAGGGUUGGUGGCAGGGUUGAGGUUUUGUUGGCUUUCCAAACUGUUUUCCAGCUUGUGGGCUGAUUCAGAUGCAAAAUCUUGACAUACACUGAAGUUUUGCUGACGGUGUUUAAAUCCCAGCCAGCUAGGCACACAGCAAAAACAUACAUCUACUACUUCCUCUAAAGUCUUAGUGGAGUUAUUAAUAGAAGCUAAGUUAAUUUCUUCACCAUGAGGCAAGUUGGAAAACUACCAGAAGGUGCUGAUGUGGAACUUUUCCUCCUCAGACCAUAAAACUUUGUUUUUAAAGAUGAUUUCAUAACAAUUGAAGCUUUUAUAAUUUUUUUUUCUUAUGAUUAUUAGGCAUGUGUAGAUGAGUUGAAAAAGGAACAUAAAAGACAGGAUGACACAGCAAUCUUUAUUUCUUUAUACUGUGUAUUUUUAACUCACAUUUAUUCUCCUGGAUCGCCAUUUCUCUCAAAGUUUGACUGUUCUGUUUUAAUAUUUGGAGAAAUCAUCAGUAAAGAUUUUUUUAACUUGCUGUGACGGUUGUGUAAUUUGUGUGAUUAUGACAGAGGUUGACUUUGAAUAUGGGCAGUGUUUAUAUGAAGCAAGGUUAUAAAUAAAUAGUUAUAUGUGUUUCAUAAAAGUGCAUUUACUAGCUGUUUAAGGUAGUUUUGUGGUAGUAAAGAGACGCUUCACUUAUCAUCAGAAAGCAGCAAAAUCACAUCGUCUUUAUAAGAGAUAUUGCAGCCUGUGUGGUGUUUACUGAAACAGCUUCGUCUCACAUGGUCUGAGUUAAGAGCUCCAGUGAUUCAUGUACUCCCUGGCAAAAACUGGGUUUUCCUCAAAGCCUGGAGACAGCUUGCUCUGGUGAGACAGCGGGACAUAAAAGCUGUGAAGGUUCUCUUGUAUAUCUGCACCCAUAGCCAGGGGUAUAGUCUCCUCAUUGUCCAUUGUGGGUCAAGUCGACACAAAAGGGUGAUCACACUGCCAUCCCUGCAGCUGUACAUGUCUCUUUGUACAAGUUGCACUGGUAUGAGUUUGAUGCAGAGAUCCACAAACUCUAAAGGCUGCUCAUUUUGAGGUAGCCUUUAGCCUCUAGAUAUUCAGGAAAAACAAACAACUAAGAGUAAAGAUGUGAAAUGUUGUUCAAAUGCAUACAUCUUAAUUAUACCAGCUGAAUUUUGUUUUUAAAUGUAAAACUCACAAACCUCACAGAAUUCCAGUCGAAAAUACUCUGAAUUUCCCAGACAGUUUAAGUAUUUUCCAAGAUAUCCUUAUGGAUAAGUGACACUGUGAGUGGGUGGUAUAUAAAAUAUUGACAAAGCAACUUUCACUUGACUUUCUCUCUUAAUUUGACACAUUUGAUCAGAUUGUCCCUGGCCUUACUACUCCUGUUAAGAAUCACUUACCUUUUUUAUGAGGUGUAACCCAUCAGAACCUAUUGUUUAACACAGUGGGGUAAUAAGAUACAACAUAUAACACAAUGUAAAUAACAGAAUUGCUUCAUUAAGAUUCCACUCUCACUCAAAGAGUUUUAUCUCCACAGUGUUUUGAAACUCUUUGUAGUUGUCGGUUUAUCAGUCGAGUGAAUUCUUUGACCCUCAGGUUGCUGAAUUUUAACACAGUUAUCAGAGAGAAUAUGCAUCCACUGGGUAAAAAUUACCUUUCCAACAAAAUAUUUUUCUUCCAAAAAUAGUGAUGUUCUGUUUGUCCUGAGAUGAACUGAAUAUUUCACUUUACUAAGAAGAAGUGUUUGAUCUCCUGAGGACCAAACACAUCAGACACAAAGAGAUGCUUUCUGUAAAGCAGUCAUUUAUGUCUCUGCAGGCACAGCUAUUUCUGUCGGCAGAGGGAGUGAACUAGAAUCAAAGUCUCCAUGUUGGCCUCAUCAGUCUCUACGAACCCAUCCACACAAACCUAAAUCUGAUAUCCUUAAUUGUUUGCCUCACACCUAUAUUAAGUUUAAUUGUCAAACACGGAAAACUAUCCCUACAUAAAACUUUGACCUUGUGUGACAUGUUUGAUCAAAAAAAGGAUUUGGUUAUCCUUUUAGGACACAAUAUUGUUAGUUUGAAAGGGUUUGAAAUAUUAGCUUUCUAAAUAAAUAAAUAAAUAAAUAUUGUGUCCAAAAAGGAUAACCAAAUCCUUUUUUUGAUCAAACAUGUCACACAAGGUCCAAGUUUUAUGUAGGGAUAGUUUUUAGUGUUUGAUCAAAAAAAGGAUUUGGUGAUCCCUUUAGGACACAAUAUUGUUAAAGGGUUUGAAAUGUUAGCUUUCUAAAUAAAUAAAUAUUGUGGCAAAAACCUGAACUUCAACCAUCUCUGAAAAGGAAAAUUUGAACAAUAUCCAGUCCUGCAAUCCAGGCAGUGGUAGCAGAGCUGUUGAGAGCAUUUUUGAUUUAUUGACCUUUAGCAACUAUGUUAAAGUUUGGGUAUUGCUUAAUUCAUAAAGUGGUUAUCACAUGUUUUGCAAUUUCCCAACAAGAGUACUGGAAAAAAUCUGUUUUCUUGUGACUGUUUUUUUAUGACAGGUGACUUCAUCAGUUGAUUGCUGAGAUUAGCUGAACUUUGUCCCCUAAAAUAAGGAUGGGCAGAGGAGCAGACUUAAAGUUUAGUGUUCUCGGUGUUCUUUUUUUUUUUUUUAUCACAUUCCUUUUGAUAUAGUUAUGGUGCAAUUGGAAAUGCCAAGCUAGGAAUAAGAGCUCAAAAUUAGCAAUGGCUUCACACUCACCUGAUGUGACGUACAUGAGUUUCACUUUCUGAAUCUGAUCUAUUUUACAUUUUUACUUAUAUUAUUAACUCCAAUAAGGAUGAGGUGAGUUCAUCAUUUUUAUACCAGCCCGGAUUAAACAAGCGUCUCUCUAGCUGUAGUGUUGUGAAAGUGUAAUUGAGGCUGUUUCGCUUCUGACCACACCCUGCAGACUUUCAACUCUCAUAUAGAAAGUGCUAAUACCUCGUUUUUCAUCUGAUGUUGGAUGAGCAGUUGGACAUUUUAAAAAUAUUAUUUACAUGCUGGUGAUCUUAGAUAAGCUUAAAGACUGAAAACAAUUGGUAAUUUCAGGACAGCUUAUUGCAUCUAAAUGUCAAAGAAUAAAAUUAAAACCAGCACACUACCAUCUUUAAAGCUCAAACAAUAACCACAGAGAAAACUUUAAGUCUCAAAAUAAAUUCAUUUUCAUCAUCAAAGUACUCCAAAUACAGUUGUUUCUGCUGUGUGAAGAAUAACUACCAGUCACUUUUUUUUAAAGACUCCUUUUUUUCUGGCCUUGGUUUUGCAAUAUUCUGAGGUAGACAUCAGGUAUGUGGCAAAAGUAUAAUUGUAGCUGUCCUAAGUUUUUACCGUGGGUUUAAGGAAGAGCCUCACUAUAUGUCAGGAAAUAUCCGUCUUCUCUUUCGCAGUUAAGAAUCGUCCUGCAGGCUCACACAUCAAUGCAUUGUGCCAAAAGGCCAAUGAUAUGUAAGGAAUCAGUCGAAUGUGGUUGGGAGUUAUUGUGUCCCGACCACUGAAAGAAUUAUCCCAUAGC
rnacentral:lncRNA from 1 species